GCUGUAGCUCAAUGGCAAAGCAUCUGCUUUGCAUACAGAAGGCCCUGGGUUCAAUCCUAGGCAUCUCCA
rnacentral:tRNA from 1 species